UUUCGCAAUGCCCGAAAGGGUGACGAAGCGACGCCGCGUGAGUGAGGAAGGCCUUCGGGUUGUAAAGCUCUGUCAGGAGUUAAGAAAUAUAAGUGUGCUAAUACCACAUUUAUUUGACGAAGGCUCCAAAGGAAGCCACGGCUAACUCUGUGCCAGCAGCCGCGGUAAUACAGAGGUGGCAAGCGUUGUUCGGAAUUAUUGGGCGUAAAGGGCACGUAGGUGGGUUUGUAAGUCAGAUGUGAAAGCCUUCUGUUCAACGGAAGAAUUGCAUCUGAGGCUGCGAGUCUUGAGUGUAGGAGGGGAGAAUGGAACUUCUGGUGGAGCGGUGAAAUGCGUAGAUAUCAGAAGGAACGCCGGCGGCGAAAGCGAUUCUCUGGCCUAUUACUGACACUCAGUGUGCGAAAGCUAGGGGAGCAAACGGGAUUAGAUACCCCGGUAGUCCUAGCCGUAAACGAUGGGCACUAAGUAGAGGGGUUUUA
rnacentral:rRNA from 1 species